CUGGGGUGUUUGCAGUUGGUUUUUGAUUAUGAAUAAUGCUGUGAUAAACAUCUCUGAGUUUUCCUUUUGCAAGUUGCCCAUCCAGUGGAGGGAAUGAGCUCCCUGCUGCUGGGGCAUACAAGGAGAAGCCAGACAAGCACUGGGAAGGUUCAAGCAAGGACCUGAGCCUCAGAGAAGGAUCAGCUAUAGCAGUGGCUCUCAAUUCUGCUGGGAUGGACAUUACAGAAGCCGUUCAGUCACGUAACACAUUCUUAGAGCUAUACCUCACAAUUCCAGGGUAUUUACUGGCUGAAACUCAGGCCCUUUCUCUCCCAUUGAUGUAUGGGCUGGAGGUGAGUGCAAGCGAUGCUGCAGCAAGGAUGACUCCGACAUGGCCAGGUUGAUUUGGAAAUGAAGAACAUCACAUGUAGUUUGGGGCACAUCCUCGUCAGGGUCACAUGUGCACAGCCCACAGGUGGUCCUGGCCCUCCCUGGGUGGGUCUUCACUCUGGCCAAGAUGAUCUCCAAGGUCUCCCCAGGCUGGAAGCUCCGAUGCCUGCCCAGGGGCUGCUGCCCUCCGCCCAGAGCCUGACACACUAGAAGGGCCUCUGCUCCCAGGGGAGGGAACGAAUGCCCCCUGUUGACUUUAUCACAUCACCCCUCACCACUCCACGGGGGCUCUCUGUGGUGCCCCAACCCAGGCCACCCCUGCUUUCAUCUCCCUCGCUGUGCCAAGGCUGAAAGGCUGUGCAUCCACUCAGCUUGCUCUCUGCCUUCUGGCUGGACCCAGGCAGUUCCAACCCCUGGCGCCACCCUCCUCCCCCUAUCCAAUCCUGUCCCUGACCUAGAUAAAAAACCAGCUUCACUGCCUCUCAAAAAUGCUGCUGUGUGCGCCAGCCGCUCUGCUGGCAAGUUUCUGCCUGCUUCUUCUCCACAGUCCCCAUAUCCUAUCCUUAUGUGGCAAGAAGUGAAAAUCUUGUUUGUGGCACAGGGACCAGUCUCCCAUGAGCAUCAGGCCUUUCCUGGACCACUCCCCACUCUCUCUGGAGUCUAACACUUUACUGUCUGGAGAUAUAGAAACUUAUGAAUACAGAGGCUGUGCAGGCUUCCGGCAUCACCCCCAUCACCAACACCACGCAGCAUAUAUUCUCUCACUUCAUCCUCCUAGCAACCCUAGAAGGGAUGUUCUUUUAUUAUUCCUAUGACACAGAUGAGGCCUCAGAGGCUCUGAAAGGGUAGGCAACUUGCCUAAGGCACAGCCAGUAUAAGGCAGAUGUGACCAAACCCAGGUCUGUCUGAUUCUUUUUGUUUGUUUGUCUUGCUCUGUCGCCCAAGCUGGAGUACAGUGGCGUGAUCAUAGCUCAUGGCAGCCUCGACCUCCUGGACUCAAGCAAUCCUCCCACCUCAGCCUGUCAAGUAGCUGGGACUAUAGGCAGGCACCACCAUGCCUAGCUAAUUUUUUGAUUUUGUAGAGACGAGGUCUCACUAUGUUUCCCAGGCUGUUUUCAAACUCCUGGCCUCAAGCAAUCCUUCCACCUCGGCCUCCUAAAGUGUUAGGAUUACAGGCAUGAGCCACUGUGCCUGGCCAGGACUGUCUCAUUCUAAAGCCCUAAUCACCAAACUUCCUGCCGGGCACCAUCUGAGCUCCCCACCAGCUGGAAUCCACCUGGAUGCCCACACUCUAGUCCCUACCCUCCAAGCGUUGUCCUUUGGUGUCUCCUGGCUACACGCAUGCAGGCUUAUGUGACCUCUCCUACCCAUCAGACAGUAUAACAACACAUCAAAGACGCUGGAGUUGGCCAUGUACCGGCACCGCCUGGUGGUCAGUGGCAUGAAUGCUGCGGGCACGCUGUCUGGGUGGAAAUUCUGUCUUGACCACUGAGCCCCUGGACAAGUUACUUAACCUCAUCC
rnacentral:lncRNA from 1 species